GGGUUGUGAGGUUAAGCGACUAAGCGUACACGGUGGAUGCCCUGGCAGUCAGAGGCGAUGAAGGACGUGCUAAUCUGCGAUAAGCGCCGGUAAGGUGAUAUGAACCGUUAUAACCGGCGAUUUCCGAAUGGGGAAACCCAGUGUGACUCGUCACACUAUCAUUAACUGAAUCCAUAGGUUAAUGAGGCGAACCGGGGGAACUGAAACAUCUAAGUACCCCGAGGAAAAGAAAUCAACCGAGAUUCCCCCAGUAGCGGCGAGCGAACGGGGAGGAGCCCAGAGCCUGAAUCAGCAUGUGUGUUAGUGGAAGCGUCUGGAAAGGCGCGCGAUACAGGGUGACAGCCCCGUACACAAAAGCGCAUGUGUUGUGAGCUCGAUGAGUAGGGCGGGACACGUGGUAUCCUGUCUGAAUAUGGGGGGACCAUCCUCCAAGGCUAAAUACUCCUGACUGACCGAUAGUGAACCAGUACCGUGAGGGAAAGGCGAAAAGAACCCCGGCGAGGGGAGUGAAAAAGAACCUGAAACCGUGUACGUACAAGCAGUGGGAGCCCCACCACUAAGCCAGUGGUGAACUCCACAUACGCAUCCUUUGCUGAAGGUGCGGUUAACGGAGCGCAAGCGACGUUCAACCUCAAAAGAAGCAGAGGGGGCUUAGUGGUGGGGUGACUGCGUACCUUUUGUAUAAUGGGUCAGCG
rnacentral:rRNA from 1 species